AUUGAACGCUGGCGGCAUGCUUUACACAUGCAAGUCGAACGGUAACAGGUUAAGCUGACGAGUGGCGAACGGGUGAGUAAUGCAUCGGAACGUGCCCGAUCGUGGGGGAUAACGCAGCGAAAGCUGCGCUAAUACCGCAUACGAUCUGAGGAUGAAAGCGGGGGACCGUAAGGCCUCGCGCGAUCGGAGCGGCCGAUGUCAGAUUAGGUAGUUGGUGGGGUAAAGGCCCACCAAGCCGACGAUCUGUAGCUGGUCUGAGAGGACGACCAGCCACACUGGGACUGAGACACUGCCCAGACGCCUACGGGAGGCAGCAGUGGGGAAUUUUGGACAAUGGGCGAAAGCCUGAUCCAGCAAUGCCGCGUGCAGGAAGAAGGCCUUCGGGUUGUAAACUGCUUUUGUACGGAGCGAAAAGGUCCUUUCUAAUACAAGGGGCUCAUGACGGUACCGUAAGAAUAAGCACCGGCUAACUACGUGCCAGCCGCCGCAGUAACAC
rnacentral:rRNA from 1 species